CUGGUUCAGUGCCUGGUCACAGCGAGUUUUCCUGGCACAAGCGAGUGGAAAGCGCACUUUGGCAUGGAGAGGAAAUGAGCAGCGGAGGGUGAAAGGUGUCCUGCCAGGCACUUCCCAUUUGUGUCCUUAUCCCAGUUUCCAGCCAUCUUCAGAGGCUUCCCAGCUACUGUGUCCUGCAAGUUCAAAACCCUGCAGCCCACUGGGACUGGGAAUGUGUGAAGGAGCACAAGGAUUGGAGUUGAAUGACAGUGAUAAAUAGGGAGCCGCCUGCCCCUGGGGGCCAUGCACUGUGUUCCAUCCCCAGAGUGUGCAAAUAUUUGCAGCAGAGCAGCCUCUGAGCCCCGAGACGUGAGCAGCGACACGAGGAGGUGCAGCCCAGGGCAGGGGCAAGGCCAGAGGGUGUGAAACCAGCACAAAGCCCCUGGGGUGGCUGCCUGGCUGUUACAAUUUAUCAUGAACGCAUCUCACUUCACUUCUGGCUCCUCUGACGGAAGGAACAGCCGGUCUCCGGGAGGUCAAAGACAUUAUUUUCCCCUAGUCUUUCUCAGUUUCCAGCACAUAUUUGUCACUUUGAAAAAGCAUGAAUUCUGGAUUUGAUGCACUUUAAUUGAUUUCACCCUCAACAAGUCCAACUGUCCAUCAACCUUUCCUUUUUCUUUCCUCUCCCCCGUCUUCACUUCUUUCCUCUGUCCCUUUGCUUUGAGAGUGAUGUUUUCACCCGCCUGCAUGUUGGAGCUGUGGCAAAGCCCAUGACCCUAUCAAGGCUUACUGUCACUAGCCAUUGCUCUCAUUCCCCCUAUCCUCCAAGUUCAACUUUGGAUGCUGAAUGAGAAUGAAGUAGGAGUACUGAGUUGUAGAAUCUCAGUGAUGUGCUCCUUGUCAAAGUAAAAGUGGUGGCUGACGGUCCACUUAUUUUGAGAUGACUGUGUAGAGCUGGAACUGUGAGGGAACUGAUUCAUUAUAUGCUGGCAUUGGUAUUUAAAA